rnacentral:lncRNA from 1 species
UGCUGUUUUUCUUUUUCUUUUUGUGCAGUUUUUGAGUUAUGUUUGAUUUUGUGUAAUAAUUCGUGUGCUAAUCCAAAAAUCGUGGAAAUUUUUGUGUAAGCUCUCUGAAGUGAGUAGAACCCAAGAAAAAUAUUAAGUUCUGUUUUCUGGUAGUUUACAUGUCUGUAAAAAUUUGCCCUUUUAAUUAGCAAAUAAAACUUGUAUGAAUUUUAGUAAUUUAUCAGUGUGUCCAAAAAUCACCAAAAAUUGUGGGG